rnacentral:lncRNA from 1 species
GCCCCCUUCAUAUUUAAUUUUAGUGGUACGGUACGGUGUGGUGCAUAACAUAACACGAAAAAAAUAUCGGGGAGAAAGGAAGAUUCAAAAAUAGCCGCUAACAAUUCUCGUGGGACUAUUAUUUUUAUUUUUUUAUCUCUCUCUCUCUCUCUCAUUGAUUUGCGCUUACUUUUCUCCCUCUUCUUGCAAUAAUAUGUAAUUUGACAUUUCAAAAAAUUUUAAAGAAGAAAGAAAGAAGAAAACAAAACAUGGAAGACCCCAUCGAAACACACAGCUCUCGCUCUGCCGACGGAUACGCCCGAUGGUACACUAUUAGUCAUUUCUGUUUUUUUUUUUUUUUAAAUACAGUACACAAAGAUUUUUCUUGUCCAAAUUUAGCCCAUUUGUAUUGACAUUGACAAUAAUGUGUAUUUGACUCCGCUUGAGAAUGAACAUAUGUAUGUAUUAUCCCUUAUUAUCAUUAACUUAUUUCUAAUCGGGAAUUAGGCAAACGAGAUAUAGAGAGAGAGCGUUACUAUUAUUUACUAAUACUAUUAUAAAAAAAAAAAAGAAAAAAAGAAAAAGAUGAGAGCCGUCGGGGAAUUGUGAUUGGUCGACUCACGUAAAACGCAUGAGACACAGCCAAAGAGAGCACGGCACGUCAGCAUUACACGUGUUUACUUACUAGUACUUGUCUUUCUCAAGUCGGCGGCUCGGCUCCAAACUACUAGACUUGUAUCUACGUUUUCCCUCUUUCCUUUUUUUUAUUAUUAUUAUUAUUUAACCUCACAAAUAUUAUUAGUAUUUUAUAAACUUUCCUAGGAUUGCCUUGCUUUAAUUUAUUACUUAUUUCAUCACUCUCUCAAUCCUUUUUAAUUCUGAAAUUAACAUUUCCCUUUUUAAAAAGUUAUAUAUUCAUCAUUUGGAAAGAAAGAAAAAAGUAUUGCCAAUUACCAAAUUUGAUAUUGAAACUUAAAACGAUGUAUUUUGUAUGGAUGUUAUUUAUAAUUAUCAUAUGACGCACUAUUUGUUAAUUCCACAUAUGGGGGAGAUAUCCAUUGCUCUAUAUUGCCAGUUUAAUACAUGCAAAAUGCCAAAAAAAAAAAAAGAUGGUUCAACCAAAAGUAAGUAAAGACAAUUAAUAUUUGGUGAGAGAUUUAAAUAUGCCAAAAAAUAAACUAGUCUAGUAAAAA